GAUGAAGAACGUAGCGAAAUGCGAUACGUAAUGUGAAUUGCAAAUUCAGUGAAUCAUCGAGUCAUUGAACGCACAUUGCGCCCCCUGGUAUUCCGGGGGGCAUGCCUGUCCGAGCGUCAUUGCUGCCCUCAAGCACGGCUUGUGUGUUGGGCCCCGUCCUCCGAUCCCGGGGGACGGGCCCGAAAGGCAGCGGCGGCACCGCGUCCGGUCCUCGAGCGUAUGGGGCUUUGUCACCCGCUCUGUAGGCCCGGCCGGCGCUUGCCGAUCAACCCAAAUUUUUAUCCAGGUUGACCUCGGAUCAGGUAGGGAUACCCGCUGAACUUAAGCAUAUCAAUAAGCGGAGGA
rnacentral:misc_RNA from 1 species